GCAAGUCGAGCGGUCUCUUUCGGGAGACAGCGGCGGACGGGUUAGUAACGCGUGGGAACGUGCCCUUUAUUACGGAAUAGCCAUUGGAAACGAUGAUUAAUACCGUAUACGCCCUAUGGGGGAAAGAUUUAUCGCUAAAGGAUCGGCCCGCGUUAGAUUAGGUUGUUGGUGGGGUAAUGGCCUACCAAGCCUACGAUCUAUAGCUGGUUUGAGAGGAUGAUCACCAACACUGGGACUGAGACACGGCCCAGACUUCUACGGAAGGCAGCAGUAGGGAAUCUUGGACAAUGGGCGAAAGCCUGACCCAGCCAUGCCGCGUGAGUGAUGAAGGCCCUAGGGUUGUAAAACUCUUUCGCCAGGGAAGAUAAUGACGGUACCUGGUAAAGAAACCCCGGCUAACUCCGUGCCAGCAGCCGCGGUAAUACGGAGGGGGUUAGCGUUGUUCGGAAUUACUGGGCGU
rnacentral:rRNA from 1 species